rnacentral:tRNA from 1 species
AUAGUUUAUCAGCAAGCUGCCACUCCCUUGGUAAGGGAGAGGUCGAGAGUUCAAUCCUCUCUCGCAGCACCA